GUCGUAACAAGGUUUCCGUAGGUGAACCUGCGGAAGGAUCAUUACCACACCUAAAAAACUUUUCACGUGAACCGUAUCAACCCCUUUUUUGGGAGAAUGCUAGGCGGAGGCUUGAGCGACCCUUUGGGUUGCUCGCUGCUGCUAGGCGGACUCUAUCGCGAACGUUUGGACAUUAGUUCGGGCUAGUAGCUUUUUUAAACCAUUUAUUUUUACUGAAUAUACUGUGGGGACGAAAGUCCUUGCUUUUACUAGAUAGCAACUUUCAGCAGUGGAUGUCUAGGCUC
rnacentral:misc_RNA from 1 species